rnacentral:rRNA from 1 species
GCGGCCUAUCAGCUUGUUGGUGAGGUAAUGGCUCACCAAGGCGACGACGGGUAGCCGGCCUGAGAGGGCGACCGGCCACACUGGGACUGAGACACGGCCCAGACUCCUACGGGAGGCAGCAGUGGGGAAUAUUGCGCAAUGGACGAAAGUCUGACGCAGCAACGCCGCGUGAGGGAUGACGGCCUUCGGGUUGUAAACCUCUUUCAAUCGGGACGAAGCGAAAGUGACGGUACCGAUACAAGAAGCACCGGCUAACUAUGUGCCAGCAGCCGCGGUAAUACAUAGGGUGCAAGCGUUGUCCGGAUUUAUUGGGCGUAAAGAGCUCGUAGGCGGUUCAUCACGUCGGAUGUGAAAGCUUGGGGCUUAACCCCAAGCCUGCAUCCGAUACGGGUGAACUAGAGAGCAGUAGGGGAGACUGGAAUUCCU